GAUAAACGCUGGCGGCGUGCUUAACACAUGCAAGUCGAACGAAGUUUUUCCUUCGGGAGAAACUUAGUGGCGGACGGGUGAGUAACGCGUGGGUAACCUGCCCUGUACAGGGGGACAACAGCUGGAAACGGCUGCUAAUACCGCAUAAGCACUUAGCACUGCAUGGUGCAUAGGGAAAAGGAGCAAUCCGGUACAGGAUGGACGCGCGUCUGAUUAGCCAGUUGGCAGGGUAACGGCCUACCAAAGCGACGAUCAGUAGCCGAUCUGAGAGGAUGUACGGCCACAUUGGGACUGAGACACGGCCCAGACUCCUACGGGAGGCAGCAGUGGGGAAUAUUGCACAAUGGAGGAAACUCUGAUGCAGCGACGCCGCGUGAGUGAAGAAGUAUUUCGGUAUGUAAAGCUCUAUCAGCAGGGAAGAAAAUGACGGUACCUGACUAAGAAGCACCGGCUAAAUACGUG
rnacentral:rRNA from 1 species